rnacentral:lncRNA from 1 species
UUAUAAUUAAUUAUUUAUUUAUUUAUUUAUUGGUCAGAGUGAAGCAUUAAUUAUUAAAUAAUUAAUUAAUUAAUAGAAAAGUUUUAAAUAUUAUUUCUGUGUUUUCGUAUUUUUUUCACUUUUUCAAUUUCGUACCUGUGGUUUAAAGUGUAUUAAUUAAGUAUCCCGUGAUUUCAUUUUUCUUUUUUUAUUAUCUCUUUCGCUAAGUUUUUUCGUUAAAUUAGUGGUAAAGUUAAAACUAAAAAGUACUAAAGUGAAUAUUCGAUAAACCUAAGUUGGGUAUCUGAAGUUUUUUGUAUAUAAUUUAACGAAAUAUUAACGAAAAAGCUAACGAAAAGAGAAAAAUAAAAUCACAUGUUACUAAGUUGAUGCACUUUAAACUGCAGGAUACUAAAGUGAAAAGUAUUUGAAGUUCGCCGUUAAUUAAUUAAUUAAUAUAAAGACGACAUUAAAUAAAAAGUAAAUAAUAA